rnacentral:rRNA from 1 species
AUGAAUGAUACUCUAGAUGAUAAGGGGCAGACUGCUGCAGAUCGUGUGAAGGAAGUUUUUUGGAACUUGUUUGAGAUCCACUUGAAAGAUGAUGAAGAUCCAGACAAGGUGGAGAAUGAUGCUGAUCGUGUGUUGGACAAUUACGCAAUGAAAAAAGUGAGAGACAUGAUGUAUCAACUUCGUGUGGAUGCUGUGAAGUUCUACUUUGAGAAACAAGGAGAGCGGCUUGGUGACACGUCGGCAUGUUCAAAAGAACUUGAAUAUGCCAAAUACUUGGAAUGCAAAAUACCAUCAUUUAAGGAACAUGCAUGGCCUCAUCUUUGUGCUUAUUGGUGCUUAAAGACGUUCAAGUCCUUAAGGAAGAGAGGGCAGGAAUCUCGAUUCAAGAGUGAAGAUGUUGCUCAAAAUCGGGGAGGUUCACUUCCAUUUGUGGAGGCUCAACAAAUUCUGGCUGAGAAAUAUGGACCUGAGAAGGCUACCACGUUGAAUACAUAUGCUGCAAUGAAAUCUGGACUCAAGAAUUGGGAUGGCAGUGGUAGCACCAGCACGACCCUCAGCGGGAAGGCAAAAAAACGCUUUGAUGAUUACUCUGAUUUGGCUAGAGCCGCACAUCCUGAUGAUUGGGAGCAGCGAGAGUUGGAUGGGCAAAUAUUAUAUGAAUCAUCUGGUGGCAUUCCCCAUGGGGGACUAGCAAUAACAGAUGGGGCGAUUAAGAAGACUGAUGUUAUCUCAACAGCUAGAGAAAAGAAAUUGAGGCCGUCAACUUCAGCAGCACAUCGACGAACUGUUCAAAAAAAUGACGAGCUGAAGCGACAUAAUGAGAACCUGCAGCGACAUAAUGAGAACCUGCAACAUAAAGUGGAUAUGCAUGAACGGAUCCUAGUGGCCCUUUUUAAGGAGAUGGGAAAAGAACUACCAACGGAGCUACACCAAGGAGCGAGUUCCCAACCACAUGGGACACCUAAUUCAUCUCAUAUGAGACCCCAAGCCGCCGAUGACAACACUGGUGAUGAUGAUCUGGGUGCAAAUGGUGGUGCUGACAACUCCAGUGAGAAUACCAGUGACAACAACGUUAGUGCUGGUGGUGGCGACACUAGUUCCAACAUUUGUGAAAGUAAGACCUAG